GGGGAAUUAGCUCAUUUGGUAGAGCGCUUCCAUGGCAUGGAAGAGGUGAGCGGUUCGAUCCCGCUAUUCUCCA
rnacentral:tRNA from 1 species